CCUGAGACAAGAGCGAUGGCAAGGAAGUGAACACUGAAGAAGCUCGGAGGGCGAGCAUGGGCUCUGACAGAUUAAGAGCUGAGCAGCUCUGGAACUCUGCUUUGCCACCUUAGUCAGUUCCUCUUCACACAGGUCUGCAAAGGAGACAAUCAUGGGACACGGAGAUGGACGUAUCCAUAGCAACAGGCUCAGAAGACGCCAUGCUUGAUCCCUGGCUGCUUGGAUGGAGGAAGGCUCUACUAGGAGAACAGCACCAUAGUUCAUCUCCUCCACCAACACCAUUUUGAUUCCACACAGGCUUGCCUCUCCUAAAAGACCUCAGACCUGCUCAUGAUCCAGCCACUGUCCAGCUCUGGAGGAGCCAGCCCAGACUAGAGUCAAUGUCAGUUUUGUCCAGUGCUCUUCAGCUUGGUAAAUAUCUUCAAUAUCAUCCCUGCUAAGACACGGUCUGCAAUAAGUGCUGAGCGCUCCCUUUCCUUGGCCUUCCAUUUUCUGAGUCAUUCUGAGUAUCUGCCAUGAGUUAACCUACAUGAUUGCUGGCUGCAUGACCCCUUCCCUCUUUACGCUCAAACAAAUCAA
rnacentral:lncRNA from 1 species